rnacentral:rRNA from 1 species
AGUGAACGCUGGCGGUAGGCCUAACACAUGCAAGUCGAACGGCAGCACAGUAAGAGCUUGCUCUUACGGGUGGCGAGUGGCGGACGGGUGAGGAAUACAUCGGAAUCUACUUUUUCGUGGGGGAUAACGUAGGGAAACUUACGCUAAUACCGCAUACGACCUACGGGUGAAAGCAGGGGAUCUUCGGACCUUUCGCGAUUGAAUGAGCCGAUGUCGGAUUAGCUAGUUGGCGGGGUAAAGGCCCACCAAGGCGACGAUCCGUAGCUGGUCUGAGAGGAUGAUCAGCCACACUGGAACUGAGACACGGUCCAGACUCCUACGGGAGGCAGCAGUGGGGAAUAUUGGACAAGGGGCGAAAGCCUGAUACAGCAAUACCGCGUGGGUGAAGAAGGCCUUCGGGUUGCAAAGCCCUUUUGUUGGGAAAGAAAAGCAGCAGGUUAAUACCCCGCUGUUCUGACGGUACCCAAAGAAUAAGCACCGGCUAACUUCGUG